rnacentral:pre_miRNA from 2 species
UUAGGGUGUCAUGAUCAUUGUUGACCGUUCAUAGAAUCCUUACAAUUGCUUUGCCGCUUAUGCGGGGAUUCUACGACGAUCAACAGAGACCUUUGACAUUAAAUA